AUGGAGGGUUUCAGCCAGAAGCAUGUCAUUGGAAUUCCCCUGCCUUCCUUUGCAUUUGCUGACGAGAAAACACUAGGAAAACCAUCAUGUUCUUCUUUGGUUCGCAACAAGGGUAAUGAUCUCACGAUCUCCUUGCCCAAUUCUCUUCUCCCAACUGCUGUAAUUUGUAUGUCAAUGCUGAUUUUCUGUCCUUUCCUUGGCGCCGCAGACAAAAAGAACUCCAUCGUUUAUCGGAUGAGCAAGCUAAGUCAGAAAACAGAUAGUUACAUGCAGGGCUUCAAGGAACACUUAGCACUUGGACCGAAACUUUCAGAAACUGUGAAAGGGAAACUGAGCUUGGGUGUGAAGGUUCUCCAAGCUGGUAGCAUGGACAAAGUCUUCAGGCAAUACUUCCGAGUCGAGAAAGAAGAGAAGCUACUGAAGGCUUUCCAGUGUUAUCUCUCAACCACAGCCGGCCCAAUAGCUGGAAUGCUUUUCAUCUCCACUCGGAAGAUUGCCUUCCAUAGUGACAGGCCUUUGGAUUUAAAAUCGCCCAAGGGCCGCACCGCAAGGGUGCCCUACAAGGUCAUGAUUCCUGCAAAGAGGAUAAAGAGUGCUGCCGUGAGGGAAAAUUUGUAUAAUCCUGAUGAGAAGUACAUCGAUGUAGUUACUGUCGACGGCUUCGAUUUUUGGUUUAUGGGUUUCAUCAGUUACACAAAAUCACUGAAAUAUCUUCAGCGUGUAAUUUCGGAGAUGAGAUGA
rnacentral:rRNA from 1 species